GCUUCUCUUGAGAGCGGCGGACGGGUGAGUAAUGCCUAGGAAUCUGCCUGGUAGUGGGGGAUAACGUUCGGAAACGGACGCUAAUACCGCAUACGUCCUACGGGAGAAAGCAGGGGACCUUCGGGCCUUGCGCUAUCAGAUGAGCCUAGGUCGGAUUAGCUAGUUGGUGAGGUAAUGGCUCACCAAGGCGACGAUCCGUAACUGGUCUGAGAGGAUGAUCAGUCACACUGGAACUGAGACACGGUCCAGACUCCUACGGGAGGCAGCAGUGGGGAAUAUUGGACAAUGGGCGAAAGCCUGAUCCAGCCAUGCCGCGUGUGUGAAGAAGGUCUUCGGAUUGUAAAGCACUUUAAGUUGGGAGGAAGGGCAGUUACCUAAUACGUGAUUGUUUUGACGUUACCGACAGAAUAAGCACCGGCUAACUCUGUGCCAGCAGCCGCGGUAAUACAGAGGGUGCAAGCGUUAAUCGGAAUUACUGGGCGUAAAGCGCGCGUAGGUGGUUAGUUAAGUUGGAUGUGAAAUCCCCGGGCUCAACCUGGGAACUGCAUUCAAAACUGACUGACUAGAGUAUGGUAGAGGGUGGUGGAAUUUCCUGUGUAGCGGUGAAAUGCGUAGAUAUAGGAAGGAACACCAGUGGCGAAGGCGACCACCUGGACUGAUACUGACACUGAGGUGCGAAAGCGUGGGGAGCAAACAGGAUUAGAUACCCUGGUAGUCCACGCCGUAAACGAUGUCAACUAGCCGUUGGGAGCCUUGAGCUCUUAGUGGCGCAGCUAACGCAUUAAGUUGACCGCCUGGGGAGUACGGCCGCAAGGUUAAAACUCAAAUGAAUU
rnacentral:rRNA from 1 species